rfam:Photorhabdus luminescens subsp. laumondii TTO1 complete genome
AAGCCACUGGCAGCAAAUAGGGUCCAGUUGCAUAAAGCCCCGAAUUUCGGGGUUUUUUGUUAUUUGACAACAGAACUACUGGGCUAAUUAGCCCUUUUUUU